GAUGAACGCUGGCGGCGUGCCUAAUACAUGCAAGUCGAGCGAACAGACGAGGAGCUUGUUCCUUUGACGUUAGCGGAGGACGGGUGAGUAACACGUGGAUAAUCUACCUAUAAGACUGGGAUAACUUCGGGAAACCGGCGCUAAUACCGGAUAAUAUAUUGAACCGCAUGGUUCUUCAGUGAAAGAUGGUUUUGCUGUAACUUAUAGAUGGAUCCGCGCGGUAUUAGCUAGUUGGUAGGGUAACGGGUUACCAAGGCAACUAUGCGUAGCCGACCUGAGAGGGUGGUCGCCGACACUGGAGCGGGACCGGGCACCAUGGUCCUGCGGGAGGCAGCAGAAGGGAAUGGGCGGCAGUGGGGGAGAGUCUUGCGGAGUGGCGGCGCGUGAGUUGUGGAGGUCUUCGGAUCGGGAAGCCCGGUUAUUAGUUAUGAACAAAUGUGAGAGGGAAAGUACACGUCUUGACGGUACCUGAACAGAAAGCCACGGCUAACUACGUG
rnacentral:rRNA from 1 species